rnacentral:rRNA from 1 species
CGCGCAGGCGGGUGCGGAAGUCGGGGGUGAAAGGCCGGGGCUCAACCCCGGAGGGUUCUCUCGAUACUCCGUGCCUUGGGACCGGUAGAGGCCAGUGGAAUUCCCGGAGUAGCGGUGGAAUGCGUAGAGAUCGGGAAGAACACCGGAGGCGAAGGCGACUGGCUGGGCCGGAUCCGACGCUCAGGCGCGAAAGCGUGGGGAGCAAACA